AACGAACGCUGGCGGCGUGCCUAACACAUGCAAGUCGAGCGAGAAAAGGGGGAGCAAUCCCCUGAGUACAGCGGCGCACGGGUGAGUAACACGUAGGUGAUCUCCCCUCGAGCCCGGAAUAACCUACCGAAAGGUGGGCUAAUACCGGAUAUGACCACGGGAGUUUUGGUCUCCUGCGGUGAAAGAUGGCCUCUACCUGUAAGCUAUCACUCAAGGAUGAGCCUGCGUGCCAUUAGCUAGUUGGUUGAGGUAACGGCUCACCAAGGCUAUGAUGGCUAGCUGGUCUGAGAGGAUGGCCAGCCACACUGGGACUGAAACACGGCCCAGACUCCUACGGGAGGCAGCAGUGGGGGAUAUUGCGCAAUGGGC
rnacentral:rRNA from 1 species